AUUGAACGCUGGCGGCAGGCUUAACACAUGCAAGUCGAGCGGGGUGAUGGUGCUUGCACUAUCACCUAGCAGCGGACGGGUGAGUAAUGCUUAGGAAUCUGCCUAUUAGUGGGGGACAACAUUUCGAAAGGAAUGCUAAUACCGCAUACGUCCUACGGGAGAAAGCAGGGGAUCUUCGGACCUUGCGCUAAUAGAUGAGCCUAAGUCGGAUUAGCUAGUUGGUGGGGUAAAGGCCUACCAAGGCGACGAUCUGUAGCGGGUCCGAGAGGAUGAUCCGCCACACUGGGACUGAGACACGGCCCAGACUCCUACGGGAGGCAGCAGUGGGGAAUAUUGGACAAUGGGCGCAAGCCUGAUCCAGCCAUGCCGCGUGUGUGAAGAAGGCCUUAUGGUUGUAAAGCACUUUAAGCGAGGAGGAGGCUACUUUAGAUAAUACCUAGAGAUAGUGGACGUUACUCGCAGAAUAAGCACCGGCUAACUCUGUGCCAGCCGCCGCAGAAAAAC
rnacentral:rRNA from 1 species